rnacentral:rRNA from 1 species
UACGUAGGGUGCGAGCGUUAAUCGGAAUUACUGGGCGUAAAGCGUGCGCAGGCGGUUUUGUAAGCCAGAUGUGAAAGCCCCGGGCUUAACCUGGGAAUGGCAUUUGGGACUGCAAGGCUUGAGUGCGGCAGAGGAGACUGGAAUUCCUGGUGUAGCAGUGAAAUGCGUAGAUAUCAGGAGGAACACCGGUGGCGAAGGCGGCCCUCUGGACGGUGACUGACGCUGAGACGCGAAAGCGUGGGGAGCAAACAGG